rnacentral:misc_RNA from 1 species
ACAAACUUGGUCAUUUAGAGGAAGUAAAAGUCGUAACAAGGUUUCCGUAGGUGAACCUGCGGAAGGAUCAUUACCGAGUGAUAAAAAUCACACCCUCAAAUAAAAAAACCGGUGAACUUUUCCUGUUGCUUUGGCGGGAACCUCUUAUCUUUCUUCCCUUUGGGAUUAAAAAACGAGGUGGCAGUAAAUAGAAAAUUAAAUUUAUUCUAUUGCUUUUCCCGCCAAAGGUUAUAAUCGACAAAUACCAUCCUUUUUUUCUUUUUCUAAAAAGUGUCUCUCUCUCUUUUAUUCGGAGGAGGGAAAAUAAUUUUUAUAAAAACUUUCAGCAACGGAUCUCUUGGCUCUCGCAUCGAUGAAGAACGCAGC